AGGCUUUGCCUUGCUUAUAUCAUCAGACCAUUGCAGCUGCAUCAUCCACAGUAUGGGAAUACCUUAUGAUUCACUGAGCGACAGUAAGAGUGUGCCAGGAGGAUCUGCAGGAGCCAGCUGACGCUGCCUCUCAGCUCUGUAGCUGUAUCCGCUCUGCGUGCGUGCCAGGCUCCCAGCUCUGCCUGCGUCCUGCCGAGUUCCUGCCGCCUCGCUUGGGUGUUUAUCCAGGCACCGCAGCUCUUGCUCCAUGGCCGUGCUCCUGUCUCACUCAACAUCUGACUGCGUGUUGUCUUUCCUUCCUGAGCUGUGGCUCCAAGGAUCUUUACAAUGACAGGAUUAGCUAUUUUAAGGGGCAGCAGGUGACAGACGAGGUCAAGGAGUUUUAGCUGGCAUAUUCCUAGGGCCUGGAGAACCACCUCCACUAACUAACCAGCUGAAAUACUUUCAUGGAUUGGAGUGUAAUGUCAGGACU